rnacentral:tRNA from 1 species
UCCCUGGUGGUCCAGUGGCUAAGACUCUGCGCUCUGAAUGCAGGAGGCCCAGGUUUGAUCCCUGGUUGGGUAA